rnacentral:rRNA from 1 species
CGUAGGGUGCAAGCGUUGUCCGGAAUUAUUGGGCGUAAAGAGCUCGUAGGCGGUCUGUUGCGUCGGCUGUGAAAACCCGGGGCUCAACCCCGGGCCUGCAGCCGAUACGGGCAGACUAGAGUUCGGCAGGGGAGACUGGAAUUCCUGGUGUAGCGGUGAAAUGCGCAGAUAUCAGGAGGAACACCGGUGGCGAAGGCGGGUCUCUGGGCCGAAACUGACGCUGAGAAGCGAAAGCGUGGGGAGCGAACAGGAUUAGAUACCCUGGUAGUCCACGCCGUAAACGUUGGGCGCUAGGUGUGGGUUCCCUUCCACGGGAUCCGUGCCGCAGCUAACGCAUUAAGCGCCCCGCCUGGGGAGUACGGCCGCAAGGCUA